CUAGAAGCCCGUUUAGCUCAGUGGUAGAGCGCGUCACUUGUAAUGACGAGGUCAGUGGUUCAAUCCCGCUAGUGGGCCU
rnacentral:tRNA from 1 species